ensembl:lncRNA
ACCUUGCACUUAAUAUGACUAAAAUGCAGAUUCCAAAAGGGCAGGGUGAGACCCAGAGAGCAGCAAGAGAGGCAGUGCUUUCAAAGGCCGGACUUCCUACCUGAUGGAGAGAAAAUAUUUCACCUGGCAUCUAAGUAAAAGUCAAGGCACCGUAGAACUGCGGGGCAAAUAGUGAGAGGGCAGGCGUCCGCUGUAGUAGCGUCGAAGCGUGAAAAAAAUACGACGGAGUCCCCGAGGGAAGAGAACCCGGAGCUGUGAGCGCCAUCCUCCUGUGGACAGUAGGCGGCGGCUUUAAAAGACUGAGCCCGGGAGAAGAAUUUCCAAUAAACAGCCUAAAGGCGGAGCCUGGGAGAAGACAGAAAGUUACACUCGCGCUGCUCUGAUAAAGGGGGUUCGGCUGCCCCCAAGCCCCAGAAUCUCGUCCUGGGUGAUGUUUUUGUUGUCAGUUUCACUCUUGGUAGUCUUCUCCUUAGAGCUGAGAAGUGGCUCAUAAGCCACCCAAGAUUUGUGUGUGUCCUUUAACAGCUUAGGAGAGAGACGAAGACCAAAAUUACUUAAAGGAAAACACCUGUGUGGUAGCCGAAUGUCCCGGCGGGGCGGCUCAGCAAGCUCGCCUCCCAGGUGCAGUUCCUCGCAGGGGGGAAGUCAGGCAGCCCCCAAAACUUCUGCGAAGGCGCACGCUUCCUGGCCCCAUUGCCCCUCCCACCUCGAGCACACGAUUUUAAUCCUUCCUCGAGGAUGCUUACGGUGAGGCGACGCUCGCUCAAUUUCACUAUGCUCCUAAACCGACACAUUUUUAGAGUUUGGAAAUUUCACAGUCUGUUUCUGACCCUUUUAAUUCAAUUUAAUAAAUACUUACUGAGCAUUUUCUAUUAAUUUGCUUAUUCUUUCUUUCUACAAAUAUUUACUGAGUGCCUUGAUAUCCGAGACUCUGGGAAUACAGAGGUAAACAAGCAGAUUUACACUAGGAUGACGGCUUACACUCUAGUAGGGGGAGAGGAGACAGAAAAUACACAGUGAUACAUGGGUGAAAUAUACAUACCGCGGAAGGAAGUGAUACAUGCUAUGGAGAAUAACAAGAGGAGGGGGAAAGAGAGUGUUGUGAGGUUCCAGUGUGACUAGUGUGGUCCAGGAAGGCUUCAUGGAGAGAGUGCCCUUGGAGAGAUGCUCUGAGGACUUGAGAGAGAGCAGCCAUGUAGUGUCCCCAUAAAGGGAACAGCAGAGGACUUCCCUGGUGGUCCAGUGGUUAAGACUUCUCCUUCCAAUGCAGGGGGUGGGGGUUCCAUCCGUUGUGGGAGAGCUAAGAUCCUACAUGCCUCCUGAC